rnacentral:lncRNA from 1 species
CUGGGUUCUGUUGUUGGCAACCAACAGAGUUGUUGUCUUUUCUCGCAUUCAUUAAAAUGCACAAGAAGAAAUUUCUAAUGGUGAGGGAGUACUUGCUUCAAAUUCAUACUUCAGUGAAAUAAACAACACCAUACAUAGGAAUGUGAAAGCAAAGUCAUCAUACACUGUUUGCUUCAUUGUAUGAGAAUCAAUGUUUGCAUGAUAAACUGCCCUAAUGGAAGAGGACUCUGAGUUACCUUUUUCGAGCAAAGCCACCUAGGUUACUCUGUUUUCCCCAGAGUGACCCUUCUGUUCUGCAAAUUUUCAGAUUGAAGGGAGUAGCAGUAGAGUAUCAGAAGUAUCAGAAGCAAAAAAGUAAAUGUAUGAUUUGCAAAGCAUAACAAAAUGAAAAAUAAGCUUCUGCAGUCAUGGAAGUUCAGAAUUGGAUAACAACUUAGAUUAUUUAUUCCAACCUCAUCGAAAAAGAGAUAAAGACAUGGAAUUCAGGAAAAGUGGUGAGGAAGCAAAUUCAGAAAUGUAUGACUAGGAAUAUGGAAGCAACUGAAUAUGAGGUUAGAAUGUGAAACUGAAUUUAAAGGUGUAACUUGGGCCUGACUGAAAUAUAGCAAUUUAGCAGAAGUGGGAUUAAUUAUGUAGCCUUACCUAGUUGUACACAAGAUCAGGCUGGGACUGAAAUUCUACAAUAUGACUCCAUACCACCAAAAGAAUUCCAGCCCUCUGAGCAGUAGGAAAGAGAGUUUUGUUUUCUUGUAACCAGAACAUAAACUUUUGAUAGUCAUAACCUUUAUUUCAGUCUAUAAAUUUAGAUAUUGAUGGGGUUCAAAACAUUCUAUCCCCAAAUAUGGCACCAUGGAAUUUGAGCAAACGGCAAAAGUAGAAAGAUCACCCUUUGACUUUCUCCUGCCCUCCUCCUCUGAAAUCAGGUCAAGAGCCCCUCAUUUGAGAGGUGCUGUCCCUAUGCCCAGAGGAAAGAACAUCCUUAUCUAUAAAGACACAAAUAUAUAAAAAAUAAUCUGAACAGUAGGUCUUGUUAAGCGACUCCCCCUGAGUUUAUUACCACUGGAUCAUAUCCCUUUGCUUAAUCACACUUCCGUGCAACUGUCCACUUUUGUUCAAAUCUAAGCAUAAAAAUACAUAGGUUUCUCUGUUUCUUUGGGUCUUUAUAUCUGAAGGCUCCUGGCCUAUGUAAAACUCACAUUAAGUAAAUUUGUAGGCUUGUCUCUUCUUAAUUCGUUUUUAUAAGGACCUCAGUCAUGAGCCUAGAGAUAGAAAAGAAAGAUGUUUCUUUUCCCCUAUAGCAUAUUCAAAAGUGUAAAUGAAGUUUAUUCAGGGUCCUUAGUUUUACCAACUAUUUUUUUCUUUCUUGGAUAUACAAAUCUUUAAUACACUAAAUGCAGCUUCUAUAAUUUUAAACAAAUACAUUCUUCAAACCAAACCAAAGAUAGAAUAACUUUUAUAAAACAGGAGACACUUUAGAGGUAUAGUUAGCAGAUAUUUGUAAUUUUCAUGUGUUUGCAG